CCCAGAGACCCUUUGCUGCAGUUAGUCUCCCUCCAGAAGGCGUCUGGCUGCUGGCUGCUUGAUGCAGCUCUGGCUGCUGCACUGGGAAAGACCAACGAGGAGGUGGAAAAGUCAAAGCCUGAAAAGGCCAGCAGUGAAGUGUGGGCCACCAUUCUGGCUCUGAUCUGGCUUCAUGGUUUCAAGAUGGAUGCAAAGGACGAGUGGGAGCUUCUGGCUGCAAAGGCUGUAUCAUGGCUCAGUGCGCAAAAAGCACCAUCUGUGACCGAGUGUGUGGAAGCCAGAAAUAUAUUGUUGGGUUGCAGUGUGCAAAAAAACUGCCCUUGGCCUCUGAGGUUUUUAUUAAGCUAACAACGUCUUUACGAUUCAUGCACAGAAGCAGAUUUACUUCAUCCUUCAUCCACAUUAAUCUUUGCAUCGUCCAACUUUAUUAUCUAAUGUGCCUUAUUUUAUGCUGCAUGUGUCCAAAGUCAGCUU